ACUUCAGGCAAUUUUCAGUGAGCUGGAACCAAUUACCCAAAAACCCAUUGAAACAAUGGUUUUGGUUAACGAGCAACCUUCUAGAAAGAAUUGUGCUCAUUAACCGAAGGACCACUGUAUGGUAAUCAAAUACGAAAACCUUGCCACAAACAUUAAACCAAUAUUAACCUAAGAUAUAAUAAAUGUAAUAUUUUACAUGUCAGAUCAGUGUUGAUAAACUGUAGGUUAGGUUAGGUUAGGUUAGGUAUUACAGUUUUAUGAUAAAAUAAAUGUAAUAUUUUACAUGUCAGAUCAGUGUUGAUAAACUGUAAGUAAUAAAGAAUUAAAAACUU